CCGGAGGCGGCGGGUCCGGCGCGGGCGCAGGGCUGCGGGCGCUAGGCUGGGGCGCAGGGCGGGGACGCGGCCGCCGCCCGCUUUGCGCCGCUCCUCCCCGCGCGAGUGGCUCUCGGCCCGGCGUCGAAGCGGCCAUGGCGACCCUGAGCCCGCUCCCCACCCACCCCGCCUGCUCCGCCCUCCCCUCCGCCCCGCGCCACCUUUGAUGGCUCGGACCUCGGCCGGCCACCCCCAGCCCCGCUUGCACUCCCGCGCCGCCGCCGCCGCCCGCGGGUAUUAAUAGCCGAGCGCCCCCGCUGCACUAGCAGCCCGGAGCCGCCGCGCCCUCUGCAGCCGGGGGUUCGGAGCUGCUGAGCCGGGAGGCCCGGAGUGGGAGCCGGAGCCGCCGGCGCCGUGGAGAUAUAUAGUCUGCUUUCACCAUGGGAGAAAUAGAGCAGAGGCCAAGUCCAGGAUCGCGACUGGGGGCCCCGGAGAAUUCGGGGAUCAGCACCUUGGAACAUGGACAGAAGCCGCCCCCAACACCUUCUGGGAAGCUCAUGUCCAUCAAAAUCCAGAUGCUGGAUGACACCCAGGAGGCGUUUGAAGUUCCACAAAGAGCCCCAGGGAAAGUGCUGCUGGACGCAGUCUGCAACCACCUCAACCUCGUGGAAGGGGACUAUUUUGGCCUUGAGUUUCCCGACCACAAAAAGAUCACGGUGUGGCUGGAUCUCUUAAAACCUAUUGUCAAGCAGAUCAGACGGCCAAAGCAUGUUGUCGUUAAGUUUGUGGUGAAAUUCUUUCCACCUGACCACACACAACUCCAAGAAGAACUCACAAGGUACUUGUUCGCUCUGCAGGUGAAGCAGGACCUGGCUCAGGGUAGGCUGACCUGCAAUGACACCAGCGCGGCUCUCCUCAUCUCACACAUCGUACAGUCCGAGAUUGGGGAUUUUGAUGAAGCAUCGGACAGAGAGCAUUUAGCAAAAAACAAGUACAUACCUCAGCAAGACGCACUAGAAGACAAAAUCGUGGAGUUUCACCACAAUCACAUUGGACAAACACCAGCAGAAUCAGAUUUCCAACUCCUGGAGAUUGCCCGUAGGCUGGAGAUGUAUGGGAUCCGGUUGCACCCAGCUAAAGACAGGGAAGGCACUAAGAUCAACCUGGCUGUUGCCAACACGGGAAUUCUUGUGUUUCAGGGUUUCACUAAGAUCAACGCCUUCAACUGGGCGAAGGUGCGGAAGCUGAGCUUCAAGAGGAAGCGCUUUCUCAUCAAGCUCCGCCCUGAUGCCAAUAGCUCGUACCAGGAUACCUUGGAAUUUCUCAUGGCCAGUCGGGAUUUUUGCAAGUCCUUCUGGAAAAUCUGUGUUGAACAUCAUGCCUUUUUUAGACUUUUUGAAGAGCCCAAACCAAAGCCAAAGCCCGUUCUCUUUAGUCGAGGGUCAUCAUUUCGGUUCAGUGGUCGGACUCAGAAGCAGGUUCUUGACUACGUGAAAGAAGGGGGACAUAAGAAAGUGCAAUUUGAAAGGAAGCACAGCAAGAUUCAGUCCAUCAGAAGCCUGGCUACACAGCCUACAGAGCUGAAUUCAGAAGUGCCAAAACAAGCGCAGCAGAGUGCCGGCCUUCCCGCAGGAGAGGGCCCGGAGCCCGCCGGCGGCCCGGGCGGCCAAGGUGGCCAGCAGGGAGAGGAGCCCGGCGUCUCGGCCGAAGAGCCGCGCCAGAGCCCCGCGCUGCCCCAGAGCCCCGCGGGCGGCGGGAAGGUGGACGGAGGCGCGCGGGCGCCGGCCGACGAAGAGGAGGAGGCCGUUCAGGAUAGGACCCAGCAGAGUAAAGCUCAGCCCCCGCAGCCGAGCACAGGCUCCCUGACUGGUAGCCCUCACCUUUCAGAGCUGUCCAUCAACUCCCAGGGAGGAGCUGUGCCCGCCAGCGUGGUCUUGUCUCCCAACCUGAGCCCUGACACCAAGCAGGCCUCCCCCUUGGUCAGCCCGCUGCUGAAUGACCAGGUGUGCCCGCGCACCGACGACGAGGAGGAAGGCCGGAGAAAGAGAUUCCCAACGGACAAGGCGUACUUCAUUGCUAAGGAAGUAUCCACCACCGAAAGAACAUAUCUGAAGGAUCUUGAGGUCAUCACUUCGUGGUUUCAGAGCACGGUGAGCAAAGAGGACGCCAUGCCCGAAGCCUUGAAAAGUCUCAUAUUCCCGAAUUUUGAACCUUUGCACAAAUUUCAUACAAGUUUUCUCAAGGAAACUGAACAACGACUAGCCCUGUGGGAAGGCCGCUCAAAUGCCCACGUCAGAGGAGAUUACCAAAGAAUCGGAGAUGUCCUGCUGAAGAACAUUCAGGGCAUGAAGCAACUGGCGGCUCACCUGUGGAAGCACAGCGAAGCUCUGGAGGCGCUGGAGACGGGCAUCAGGGGCUCGCGGCGGCUGGAGAACUUGUGCCGAGACUUCGAGCUGCAGAAGGUGUGCUACCUGCCGCUCAACACCUUCCUCCUGCGCCCGCUGCACCGGCUCAUGCACUACAAGCAGGUCCUGGAGCGGCUGUGCAAGCACCACCCGCCCCACCACGCCGACUUCCGGGACUGCCGGGCUGCUUUGGCAGAGAUUACUGAGAUGGUGGCACAGCUUCACGGUACGAUGAUCAAGAUGGAGAAUUUCCAGAAGCUGCACGAACUCAAGAAAGACUUGAUUGGCAUCGACAAUCUCGUGAUUCCAGGAAGGGAAUUCAUUCGCCUGGGCAGCCUCAGCAAGCUCUCUGGCAAGGGGCUCCAGCAGCGCAUGUUUUUCCUGUUCAACGACGUCUUGCUGUACACGAGCAGGGGGCUGACGGCCUCGAAUCAGUUUAAAGUCCAUGGACAGCUCCCGCUGUACGGCAUGACCAUCGAGGAAAGCGAGGACGAGUGGGGUGUACCCCACUGCCUUACCCUCCGGGGCCGGCGGCAGUCCAUCGUCGUGGCGGCCAGCUGCAGGUCCGAGAUGGAAAAGUGGGUUGAGGAUAUCCAAAUGGCCAUUGAUUUGGCAGAGAAAAGCAGUGGCCCCACUCCCGAAUUCCUCGCCAGCAGCCCCCCUGACAACAAGUCCCCGGACGAGGCCACGGUGGCGGACCAGGAGUCGGAGGACGACCUGAGCGCGUCGCGCACGUCGCUGGAGCGCCAGGCCCCCCACCGCGGCAACACCAUGGUGCACGUGUGCUGGCACCGCAACACCAGCGUCUCCAUGGUGGACUUCAGCGUCGCCGUGGAGGUGCCAUCCAGCAGAGGCGCUGGAUCACCUUCUUAAACCCUGAACACCUCCGCAUCCCUAAAUGGGCCUGGCCCAGAACCUGUCACACGAGAUCGAGCGAAGGACGGCAGUGGGCCAGCCUGCAGUUUUGGGGAAGAGCCAGACAUCACACAGGGACUGAGAAUGUUCUGUGGGGGUGACCUUCACGGUUCCACGGUGCUGCUUCUACUCCGUUUCCCCAGUACAGGGGGUAGCCUAAGGCCACGCCUGUUUCUGAAAACGUCCUCACGAGCACCUGGGUGAGGUGCAGGCCCUGGGUGACAGGUGCACCGCUGGGGGCUGGCAGUGAACGGCCCCUCCACUCCGACCCCACAGGGACGGACGGACGGACUCUGUCCUGCCCAGCACGCUGUACUCAGCAUCCUCCCUCCCUUUGCCCUUGGGAACUAGAGAUCCUCCCAGGCAUGGGGGGUGGGGGGUGAACUUUCCAGCACAGAGGGAGCAGGGAAGAACUGGCGACCGGCUGGUGGGCAGGGACCCCUCCACACAUCUAGCUGGUCCGAGGAGACCGGAGGAAGUGGGUCCCCGAGGGAGAAGUGGUCUUUCCUUCACUUGGUACCGGCCUUCAAGGCCUAUGGUUAGGACUGUCGAGGCAUGGGAAGCUGGUAGGCUUGAAACCUCCUUUGCAAGCCUGGGAGCACUUAGGCCACUCAAGAGCAACCCCCCGAGUCGGGUAGCUCCCGGGGGCCCGGACACUGCAAGGCCCGCUCCUUCGGGGUGACUAGCCUGCACAGCAGCCUACAUCGGGUGAGUGUUCAGAGCCAGUUGGCAAACUGGCCCGCAGGCCAAUCCAGCCCGACCUCGCUUGGUCACAGCCCAGGCACUAAGAACAGGGUUUGACGUUAAGUGGCUAUGCCAUGUAUCUGACUUUGCCGCUUGGCCCGAUGAGCUCAGACUGCGUACUGUCCGGCCCGCCGAGGAAGUCUGCCAGCCCGCAGGGAGAUGGCUGCGAGCCCGGGGUGUAUGGGUUUAAGGUAGCAAUAACGCGGGUGAGCCAAGCAUGGAAUGGGCUCGUCUGUCCCUCUGCCAGUGCCCCCGCCCUUGCCAGGUCCCCCUCCCCAGAGCAACAGGGAGGGGGCGGCAUUUCCUUCCCUCCCAAGUCCACUGCUGAGCUCCCCACACGAACCCUCUUCCCCUCACGUGUCCUGCGAGUAUUGGGGGUAUUUGGGGAAGAUGCGAAGAGGUGCUAGGUGCGACCCGAAGGUUGUGGGCAAGCUAAGAGCACUGAGGGUCCUCAUUAGACGUGGGGGUCUGCUGCUGCAAGGGCCGGUGGAGCGUUCUUGUGUUUUAGAUCGGAGCUGGUUCGGUGCUGGAAGCCUGGGCAGAGGCGGGCAGGCUGGGUUCAGCAGACGACCAGGAGGAGAGAGACAGCACAGAGAGAAUCACGGCGGGGUCUCUGUGGCUCUCCUGGGCUGCCGUAACACAGUCCCACCGACUGGUUCGCACAAGGGAAGCUUACUCCCUCGGGCUGCUAGAAGCUGAGGAGGGGCCCUUCCGUGCCUCGCCGCCAGCUUCUGGUAUUGGCCAGCAUCCUUGGCGUCUCUCGGCCUAUAGACGCACCACCCCGAUCUUGGCCUCCGUCCCACGUGGUGUCCCUGUGUCUUGUAAGGACGCCGGUUACUGCAUUAGGGCCACCCCACUCCAGUAGGACCGCAUCUGAACUCUGCCACCUGCAAAGACCCUAUUUCCAAAUAAGGUCCCAUCCUCAGGUACCUGGGCUUUGGACUGGAACAGUCUUUGGGGGGAACGCAAUCCAAUCCAGAAUAAAGACCGAGCAGUGACGUGAGCCAGGAAGCGGGCAGAGGGCAGAGGCCUUCCCUCCGCUGGGGAGUCCAGAAGCGGAGGCCACUGCGGGGUGGGGGGGGGGGUCGGCGUUGGCCGGUUGUGGGUCAAGGAUGUUGACUGGUCCAGCCUCUCGAGAAAAGAGGCAGCAGGGCUUCGGGGCCCUGUGAGCUGAGAAGGGGACAGAAGUGUACCUGAGCGAAGCCAACGGGAGUGGGAGUUUGAGUGCAGCCGGUGACCCCAGAGGCCACCAGGACCGUGGGGGGCAAGGAGAGAGAACUCCGUUCAGGGAGUUGGAACGUGGGGCCCAGUGGGCCGAGCACGCUGUGGGAACUGCAUCAAGAGCGGGAUUCCGGGAGUCCAGCUGGAGGGGGUGGGUUCGGUAGGAGCGCGUGCUCCCUCCUGGCCUUCGCUGUGCCUCGGAAUCGUGCGGGACGCCCCCCCAUUCUGCUUGCUGCCCUCACCUGCUUGGCACUCAGAGCACCCCAUUUUCUUGUACGCCCGUGGGUGAGUGGCAGGCAGGGUGAUGCGGGGGGCGGUCUCUGUGGGGGAUGGGAUGCUCUGCCUGGAGCUUGUGCUGGUUGCGGGGACCCACGGCUUUGUGGGUCUGUCCGCCUGUGUUCUUUCAGCCUGGAGCACCGUUCGCUUCUGUUGGCCCAUCACUAAGAGAGACACUUGGCCUUCUCUCUCCUCCUGGCCCCGGGACCUUACUUCCAUAGGUACCUUAAACAUGCUCUUUGGGAGAACAAAGCAGACUCAGGUGUAUUUUUAAUUUUUUUUUAACUUGCCCCUUUGACCACCAAGUUGUGAGGCUGUCCCCAGCAUCCUGCCUCAAAAGUCUCCAGGGUGAUGAGCAACCGGGUGCAGACGGGCGGUCUCACCGUCUCGUGUGCCGCCCCCCCGGGCCUCGGAGCUGGGGAGUUCAAGCAGGACGCCUGGGGAAGGCCUCUCUCUACGGGGGAUUACUCUUCCGUUGGGACGGACUCUCAGAAUCAGCUGUCCGGGACUCUGCUGAGGAAAUUCAAGAACAGCAGUGGGUGGCAGAAGCUGUGGGUGGUGUUCACGAACUUCUGCCUGUUCUUCUACAAGUCUCCC